rfam:Camelus ferus unplaced genomic scaffold scaffold760, whole genome shotgun sequence.
GUGGGUAUAGCUGAGUAAUAGAGUGUAUGCUUAGCAUGCAGGAGGUCCUGAGUUCAAUUCCCAGUACCUCCA